CUAGUGGCGGACGGGUGAGUAACACGUGAGAAUUUACCUUUAGAGGGGGAUAACAAUUGGAAACGAUUGCUAAUACCCCAUAUGCUUUUGAGUGAAAUGGAUUUAUAUUUAUCCGCCUAGAGAGAAGCUCGCGGCUGAUUAGCUUGUUGGUAAGGUAAGAGCUUACCAAGGCGACGAUCAGUAUCUGGUUUGAGAGGACGAUCAGACACACUGGAACUGAGACACGGUCCAG
rnacentral:rRNA from 1 species